GACGAACGCUGGCGGCGUGCCUAAUACAUGCAAGUCGAGCGGACCAAAGGGAGCUUGCUCCUGGAGGUUAGCGGCGAACGGGUGAGUAACACGUGGGCAACCUGCCUGUAAGACUGGGAUAACAUCGAGAAAUCGGUGCUAAUACCGGAUAAUAAAAAGAACUGCAUGGUUCUUUUUUGAAAGAUGGUUUCGGCUAUCACUUACAGAUGGGCCCGCGGCGCAUUAGCUAGUUGGUGAGGUAACGGCUCACCAAGGCGACGAUGCGUAGCCGACCUGAGAGGGUGAUCGGCCACACUGGGACUGAGACACGGCCCAGACUCCUACGGGAGGCAGCAGUAGGGAAUCUUCCGCAAUGGACGAAAGUCUGACGGAGCAACGCCGCGUGAGUGAUGAAGGUUUUCGGAUCGUAAAACUCUGUUGUUAGGGAAGAACAAGUGCCGUUCGAAGGCGGCACUUGACGGUACCUAACGAGAAAGCCACGGCUAACUACGUGCCAGCAGCCGCGGUAA
rnacentral:rRNA from 1 species